rnacentral:lncRNA from 1 species
AUUAAAAUAACUAUAAUUAAAACAAUGAGGACUAAACAGUACACAAAAAUAAUUGAAAGAAAGGGACUAAAUUGAAAAAUAAAUAAAUGAAGAAAACGAUAAAAAAAAAAAAAAGCAAUAAGAAAAUGAGGACCAAAAUUGGAAACUAAGUAAAAUUAAAUCAAACUCUCAAAGGACAAAAUAAAAAAAAAUAACGAAAAGGAUAAAAAAAAAUAGCAAACAAAAAAAUGAG